rnacentral:rRNA from 1 species
AAACGUAGGAGGCGAGCGUUAUCCGGAUUUACUGGGCGUAAAGCGCAUGCAGGCGGCCUAGCAAGUUGGGUGUGAAAUCUCUCGGCUUAACCGGGAGGGGUCGUCCAAAACUGUUGGGCUUGGGUGCAGGAGAGGGAAGCGGAAUUUCCAGUGUAGCGGUAAUAUGCGCAGAUAUUGGAAAGAACACCAGUGGCGAAGGCGGCUUUCUGGCCUGUAACCGACGCUCAGAUGCGAAAGCUAGGGUAGCGAACGGGAUUAGAUACCCCGGUAGUCCUAGCCGUAAACUAUGGAUACUAGGUGUGAGUGGUAUUGACCCCACUCGUGCCGAAGCCAACGCGUUAAGUAUCCCGCCUGGGGAGUACGACCGCAAGGUUAAA